rnacentral:tRNA from 1 species
GGCGUUAUGAUAUGCGCCGGCGUUCGCAACGCCGAGGUCGAGGGUUCAAGUCCCUUCAUCUCCA